rnacentral:lncRNA from 1 species
AUGGGCAGAAGGGUGAAGCCUCAGGUCCCCAGGACGCGGAGCUUGGGGGGGGACGGAAGGACGGGGGGGGGGGGAGAGAAGCGGCGAGACGCGCCAGACAUCCUUUUCGAACGCAAGAGAAGGCUGUGCGCGCACCACGCGCCAGAUCCCUUUCCUCGAAGCCCCUCCCNGCUGCGAUCGGGGGCGGGGAGAGAGGGGGGAAGGGGAUCCCUCCUUCUCCUUCGCCCUCUCCCUCCCCCCUCCCUUUCUCCCUCCGCUCGUUCAGUCCCGCCGGAGAUCGGGAAGGAGGCGAGGGCGAGACACGGGCGCACGGGAGCGCCGCGCCAAGUUGCGGCUCGGCUCUUUGCGGGCGGUGGCACCGCCGGGUUGGCAAGCCACGUCCUCCCCCCCCCCCAACGCUCCCUGCCGGCCGGGACUCUCUCGCCGCCGCCGCCUCCCCCGCCCUCCUGCGUCCCGUCCUUCCUCCACCCCCGUCCCCGCCCCCGCCAGGCAGGGCCUGCCUUUCUGCGCCUCACCCGGCGCCCCUGCCCGCCUCGCCGCGCGUCCCGCCCCCCGCCCCGCGCCUCUCCUCCUCCUCCUCCUCCUCCAGCACGCGUCUCCUCCGCCGGCGCGCUCCUCCCGUCCACCGUGCAGGUGCCGCCGCUGCCGCCGCCUCCUCCUCUGCCGCCGGCGAUCGCGGUCCCUCGGUGGCGGAGACAGGACAGGACCCUGCGGCUCCGCCCGGCCGCCGAUCCCGCCGCAGGCUCGCCCUUGGCUCGUCCCCCGGCGCCCUCGCCGCGCCCGCCUGCCCGCCGUCCAAAUGGCCGAGAAGCUGCGGCGCCGCCGCCGCCUCCUGCUGCUGCUCCUGGCCGUCACCUUCGCCGCCUUGAGCGAGAGAGACGGAGGGGGUCUGGAUGCGGCCAGGCCGCGCUGGUGGCCACGGGGGGGGGAGGGGGGCGACGACGGGGAGCUGAAACGCCUGGAGGCCUGCCUGAGGCCCCCCGGUAGAAAAACGGAGCCGGCGGCCUCGCCCCCUUCCCCCGCCUCACCUCUAUUGUGGCUAGCAGCGUGCGAAGCCUGGGUGGCAUAAAGAGAUGGAGGCAGGAGAUGCGCGGCGAUUGGGGGGGGGGGGCACUGCGGAUUGGGCUCGACUCCCAGCGACGGCGACUUGGGGCUCCCCCCACCCCCCCGGCUUCCCUGCAGUCUCGAAGCUUUUCGGAAUAAAAGAGCCGUGUGUGUGUGUGUGUGUGU